CUUUUGGGAGGACCUACUGCCAAACUGUAUCUUUUCUGAAAGAGAAAAAAGAAAAGUUCUAAUAAGCAUGCUGUUAUCUCUGAACCAACCCCUUGGCCCAUUCAUUUCCCAACAUAUCUGAUUCUAAGCAGCCAUGCUUAGAUUUCCAUGAAAGAUUUACUUCAACUCCAAAGGAUCAGUACACAUCGAAGAGAGGGAUGGAUAAGAACAGGACAGGUGAAGAAUCUGCUGUGUGUAUACUAAAUUACCUUUAAAAGGCAUACUUUGAUAUAUUUAAAAUCCUAAAAUCAUAGUUUUAAAAUACACAAAUUUAGAAAUCUCUUCCACUCUGGAUAACAGACUCAUCUUUAGAUAAUUAAGGGUCUUAGGUAGUAACAGGAAAAGGCAAAAAGAGUUCCCUAGACUAGAAGUUCCAAACCUAGGAUAUGUAACCAGGAGGUAUGAGCAACUUAUCCAUGGAAGAGACUGUGAAUAUAUGGCAAACAGCUAUAUCAUUUCUUAUCAAGCUUAAUCUAUUUAUUUACAUGUAUAUUCAUGAUAAAUUCUGCAGAAUUUGUUUCCUUUCAUAAUGAAAAAGGAAGAGGUUGUUAUACAGUUUAUUCAAAGGAAAAGCUGUAUGUUAUUGAAAAAGGCUUAGGAACCCCUAUACUAGGUAGGGAAGUAUCUGUCUAAUAGGUGCUAUAUGGGGUCUCAGCCUCCAGAGUUCUCAAUAAUUAAGAUUCCAUCUUUCAAAAAUGAUUAAGUGGCAAAAUAAUUAUUUCCUAAUUACUGUGCUCCAAUCCUGGAAAGAUCACACAGUAUAACUGAAAAAUAAGGGUCAAUCUGAGUUUGAAUAAACACAUUUAAAUUUGUACUUGGCUUAAGAAAGAAUUCUAAGGGAAAAAAACCGAGCUGAUGAACAUUUCUAAGUGUGUAACAAUCAAUCUUUAGCUUUUAGGAUGAGGGUAUCCUUUCCGUAAAUCACGUUCUCUACAGUUCUGAUAAAGAUGCUAUUUUAAUUUUAAAAAAUUCUUUCUAAGGCAUGGGUGCGCAGGCUUUGUAUUGAAGUUAAUUAUUAAUUUGCAAAGUCAAUUGCCAGGCUCUUAGCUGGGUUUAUAUUUUACUUCCAAAUGGCAACUAUCCUUCCUGUAAAUGUCUCAUUAGCUUAGCACAGAUGGCAUUUCUUUGGGUUUUGAUUUUUAUACAAUAUAAUCAUGGAAUGACUAAAACUAAGAUAAUAUUUAUUUGAAUUACUAAAAUGAAAACACAAUGUGGUACUCUCAUCGUAGACCCAUGUUAAAUAUCAAACUAAUCACUAUAUAGGAUUUGAUUUAGUUCCAGGAUUAUGGCACAUUUCAUUCACGAAACUGUAUCAGAGGAGGAAAAAGAUCUAUCACAAGUCCAAUGAUAUUGGUGAAAUGAAAAAUACUACCAAUAAGUAAAAUUAAAGGAGCAAUCUCAAGUCAUAAGUGUCCAGAACGUCCAGAGAGGAAAAUUUAAGGAUCCAUGUAUGCAUGUGGCACAGAGAACAUUUUGAAAACAGCUUAAAAGUGCCAGGUAUCAAUCACACAGUGUAGCUGGGCUAAGAGCACAUUCAAGAGGACACAGAAUUGGCCAAUUUGUAUGUGAAAAGGCUCAGCAGAAAAGGUGACAACCCCAGAUGGGGGGAGGGCUGCUCAUCUUAUUGGCCGCUGCAGCGGAGUGGGAGGGGACGAAGAGAGGGAGACCCGAACCAUCCCCGACAGCCACCGGCCAGCUUGGGUCAUCACGCAAUCGCAGACAGACAAAAAGAGCGUGUUAGGGCGAGGGAGAGCAAAGCCCCUGGCGUUUGCGGGACGCUGAUUAAGGGGCCGGAGAGAACAAAACUAACUUCCCGUCGGUCUUUUCUACCUUUGGGGAACUUCGCCAGCAGCUGCUCCUCUUCCCCUCCCCCCUCCCCGCCCCGACUCGAGACGAGCCCGGAGUUUCUAGUUGGAAGCAACUUGAGAGAUGACGUCUCUCUCGUUUUCUACGGGAAGCGGGCUCCGAGCCGGGAAGGCGACCCGUCCCAGGCAAGCGCGAGGCCACAAGCACUAAGUUAGGCACCUUCCCCCCGACACCCGCGGCCCCCCCGCGGCCCCAGCUGUGACCCCGGCCGUUAGCAGCGUAGCCGGCGCGCGGCAACGGCCGGGCUCCCCCCACGCCCGGGUGCUCCCGGCUCCGGCGGGACCCCGGGCUCCGGCAGAGGCUGGUCCCCGAGCGAGCGCGGCGAUUGCUUCCCCCUCCCCCCCACCAACCCCGCGCUCCUGGCGGGCUUCCCUCACCGGGAUGAUGUUGAGUCCCUGCUGUUCCGACGCCACCAUCAGGAUGUCCCGGAAGUCCAUGGUGCGGAGCCUUGGGGCCGAGCCGGGCCAGGGCAGCACUGAGGCUCGCGGGCGCAGCCGGGCGCCCGGGCGGCUACAGCUGCCCCCUGAGCUCCCCAACCCGCGCCCACCACCCCACGUCUACUUCCGGCGCCUUCCAAAUUUGGAAGACCCCCUCAGCCCACACUCUGCCCUCCCCGUUCUGGGGCAACCUAUAAUAUUUCGGUUGCGUCACCCCGUUUCGU